rnacentral:tRNA from 1 species
AGGGGUGUAGCUCAGUAAUAGAGCACUUGUCUAGCAUACCUGAGACCUGGGUUCCAACCCCAACACCACUG